rnacentral:tRNA from 1 species
UGCUUCGGUAGCUCAGUUGGUAGAGCACUUGCCCGCGGAAGGCAAAGGUCCCGAGUUCGAGCCUCGGUCGGGCAC